rnacentral:rRNA from 1 species
UAUGGAAUCUUCCGCAAUGGGCGAAAGCCUGACGGAGCAACGCCGCGUGAGUGAUGAAGGUCUUCGGAUCGUAAAACUCUGUUAUUAGGGAAGAACAAAUGUGUAAGUAACUAUGCACGUCUUGACGGUACCUAAUCAGAAAGCCACGGCUAACUACGUGCCAGCAGCCGCGGUAAUACGUAGGUGGCAAGCGUUAUCCGGAAUUAUUGGGCGUAAAGCGCGCGUAGGCGGUUUUUUAAGUCUGAUGUGAAAGCCCACGGCUCAACCGUGGAGGGUCAUUGGAAACUGGAAAACUUGAGUGCAGAAGAGGAAAGUGGAAUUCCAUGUGUAGCGGUGAAAUGCGCAGAGAUAUAGAGGAACACCAGUGGCGAAGGCGACUUUCUGGUCUGUAACUGACGCUGAUGUGCGAAAGCGUGGGGAUCAAACAGG